rnacentral:misc_RNA from 1 species
UUUCCGUAGGUGAACCUGCGGAAGGAUCAUUAACGAGAUAGGGUCUUUUAGGACCGAACUCCAAACCCAAUGUUUAUUGAACCACUGAAGAUUCGGGGGACCCGUCGCACGGCCGCCGAAGGACAGGUGCGAUGCGUCCUCGGGGCAGCGUCCGCCGAGGGCCACCCCCCUAAAAGCUGCAUGAGACGUGGCAUAUGGCUAAGUGUAUGAUUAAAUUAAAGCAAAACUUUCAACAACGAAUCGCUUCGUUCGGGCAUCGCUGAAAUAAACAGCAAAUAA